rnacentral:rRNA from 1 species
CCUUCCGUAGGUGAACCUGCGGAAGGAUCAUUACCGAGUGAGGGCCCUCUGGGUCCAACCUCCCACCCGUGUUUAUCGUACCUUGUUGCUUCGGCGGGCCCGCCUCACGGCCGCCGGGGGGCAUCCGCCCCCGGGCCCGCGCCCGCCGAAGACACACAAACGAACUCUUGUCUGAAGAUUGCAGUCUGAGUACUUGACUAAAUCAGUUAAAACUUUCAACAACGGAUCUCUUGGUUCCGGCAUCGAUGAAGAACGCAGCGAAAUGCGAUAAGUAAUGUGAAUUGCAGAAUUCAGUGAAUCAUCGAGUCUUUGAACGCACAUUGCGCCCCCUGGUAUUCCGGGGGGCAUGCCUGUCCGAGCGUCAUUGCUGCCCUCAAGCACGGCUUGUGUGUUGGGCUCUCGCCCCCCGCUUCCGGGGGGCGGGCCCGAAAGGCAGCGGCGGCACCGCGUCCGGUCCUCGAGCGUAUGGGGCUUCGUCACCCGCUCUGUAGGCCCGGCCGGCGCCCGCCGGCGAACACCAUCAAUCUUAACCAGGUUGACCUCGGAUCAGGUAGGGAUACCCGCUGAACUUAAGCAUAUCAAUAAGCGGAGGAA